rfam:Skermanella stibiiresistens SB22 contig19, whole genome shotgun sequence.
GGCGUAUUUCGUCCAGGCGGAACUCGACCGCCCGUUCAGGAAAUGAUCGCUUUAAUCGACGAGCAUCGCGCCGUCCACGGGGCCGGGCCGAUCCGCGAGGUUCCGCCGAUGACCCCG